rfam:Ictidomys tridecemlineatus contig071711, whole genome shotgun sequence.
GGGGAUAUAGCUCAGUUGGUAGAGUGCUUGCCUCACAUGCAUAAGGCCCUGGGUUCAAUCCCCAGCACCA